GUGCUCACUUCAACAGCACAUAUACUACAGAUGGAAUGACACAGAGAAGAUUAGCAUGGCCCCUGGGCAAGGAUGACACGCAAACUCGUGAAGCAUUCCAUAUUUUU